rnacentral:lncRNA from 1 species
AUGAAACAAUUAAUCUCGUACUUCAGUCACGAUACUCGCAUGAGUGUAGCUGGUGAGAGAAUCCACAUUAGUCCCUUGCGUCUUGUACUUGAGUUUGCCUAUCUGAUAACCAAUAGGCUGGAGCCAGACGAGCGCCAAAGUGUGAGUCAGCAUGUAAGCAGGCCUUGGGAGAUACAGAAUGGAACUGGAAGAGAAGCAGGGGUCUACAUGAAGGGCAGUCCACUGGAGUCUUGCUUCAUGGUCAUGGCACCUAGAGAACCGAUUGUCAUGAGAGAUACGGUCUGUCCCCUCUUCUCAGUCAGUGAGAAAUUGGCGGAUGACACCUGCCAGAGGUACUGGUUCACUCACUUUGCAGGCUUAGGUGGGCAGCACUAACUUGACUGGUGUCUGAUACUUCUAAAUCUUCUGUGUAACAUUAGAUCAGGGUUAAGAUACAACACUUUUUAAACAGGGCUGGAGUACUGAUCUUCAGACACAGUUGAAUUUCUCAUAGUAACAGUCAUGUGUAUAAAACGUACAUUUUAAAAGCAGUAAAAUGAGGAAAA